rnacentral:rRNA from 1 species
GACGAACGCUGGCGGCGUGCUUAACACAUGCAAGUCGAGCGGAAAGGCCCUUUCGGGGGUACUCGAGCGGCGAACGGGUGAGUAACACGUUAGUAAUCUGCCUUGGACUCUGGGAUAGCCACCGGAAACGGUGAUUAAUACCGCAUCUGACACCUUGCUGCAUGGUGUGGUGUGGAUAGUUUUUUCGGUCCAGGCUGUGCUCUCGGCCUAUGAGCUUGUUGGUGGGGGAAUGGCUCACCAAGGCUUUGACGGGGAGCCGGCCUGAGAGGGUGACCGGUCACACUGGGACUGAGACACGGCCCAGACUCCUACGGGAGGCAGCAGUGGGGAAUAUUGGACAAUGGGCGGAAGCCUGAUCCAGCAACGCCGCGUGAGGGAUGACGGCCUUCGGGUUGUAAACCUCUUUCAGUACCGACGAAGCGUGAGUGACGGUAGGUACAGAAGAAGGACCGGCCAACUACGUGCCAGCCGCCGCUGUAACAC